rnacentral:rRNA from 1 species
GUGUAGGGCCAUACCACCCUGAACGUGUCUGAUCUUGUCCGAUCUCAGAAGCUAAGCAAGGCUGGGCCUGGCUAGUAUUUGGAUGGGAGACUAUUGCGAAUACUGGGUCUGUAGGCU